AGCUUUGCACAGUGGCAGUAUCGUAAGCCAAUGAGGUUUAUCUGAGGCACGAUUAUUGCUAAUUGAAAACAUUUUACAAUGCAUUGGACAGUUCCUUACAACAAAUAAUCUGGCUUUAAAUGUCAAUAAUGCUGAGGUUAAGAAGCC
rnacentral:snRNA from 1 species